UGGGUUGGGUCACUAAUAUGGCCCGUUGAUUUUUGGGGACCUAACCGCAACGUCUUCAGGUUCGACGUUAGCCGGAAGCGAAGAACUCUUCGAGCCGGUGUUGGAAUGUGGAAUGAAUUUAUGGAAGCUAAAUUUUGAAGUUGCUAUCUGCAUCUUGCAAAUGCAACCCAGCAUCGCAAGAAACAGGCAAAAUAGUUGAGAGACUGAGACAAAUUUCCAUCCAGUACUUCUCUAAAUGAUAUGAUGAGACAAUACAGAUGUCCAGAGUUCUGUUAUGUAUAAAUAAUGCUCAUCAACUUUACUUUUGUUUGUUAAGGGGCAAGACUUGUCUGUUGGAUCGAGAAAAUGAUGGGAAAGAUCAUUAGAUUUGAAAUACUUCCAAAACACGACAGCAUUACAAAAGAAUGUCACUAUAAUCCUGCUGAAGCUGUUAUACUAGUGCAUAUGGUUUUGUCCUUUCACUGAAGGAAACUAAAAGAAAACAUUUUUACGUUGGAGGAGCUGGGAUUAUCAUCUAUACUGACGUUUUAGAUGAUGCUGCUUCACUGAAUUGCUAUCUAUAAAAAUUAUGCAGUAGCUUGACUGUACAAAAUACAUGCCUCUCUUUGACAAAACUCUUAAAACUAGAUUGAAAAGAAGGGGAAAACCAAACAACUGUUGUGAAGAUAUUUUCAGAAUGCUGGUACAUUUCGACCAUAUUUCUAACCUGCUCUUCUUUUUCAAGCUUCCAUGUGUUGUUGUUCUCUUAGAUGCCAGCUUAGUGUUGCUUUCUUUCGUAGUCAAAGGAACAGGAUGAAUUUGUUAAGUCCUGUUGUGGAUAGGAUCUGAUCCUCUUGGCACUCUUCUUUUGCUGGACUGACUUGGAUCAAACUCAUGCUUGGAAUUGGCUGAAUUCUUCUCUGUGGGAUCAAGCCGUUUGUUGCCAUUUGCUGAAUUCUUCUUUCUGUUCAAUAAUUCCUCUGUAGUCUUCGUGGCAUGUUGAUUCUGCAACAAUAUUCUUUGGUCCUUUUGGCUGUGUCUUAGUGCAAUUUCUGAACUUCUCAGGCCUAACACAUUCUCUGGAUGAAUUGAUAUUAAGAACACUACAAAGAGAAGAAGAAUGAUUUUUCUAGAAGGAUGAAACACCAUAUUCCCUUCACCCUGAAACAAGAAGAGUAGAUGGUGUGUUCUUUCUGUUUAGAGUGACAGGAGAAUAAGCAGCUCUCCCCUAAUCUGUGUUCUUAUGGUCCAUUCCUGUAGACAUAACCUUGUUAUAUAUGUGAUACUAGAUUUGGAGGGGGCCUUUUAAAGCUUAAAGCAGAGAUGGCCUACAGGAAUUUUUAGAUUCAUCUCGAAUAACAAGCCUGAAAUCUUAGCGAAUUAAGGCUGUUACUGAAGAAUCUGACAAGGAUGAAUAAAGGGGAUUGGGACAAUGUCCUUGAGAGGCCAAGUAUAUUUCUUUUUUCAUUUCUUUCCCUACAUGUCUAUCAUAUGCCUGCUUUUUUCACCAAAAGAAGCCAUACACCGUUGCCUGGACUCUGUCCAACUUGCCACAUCAUACUGCUAUACUAGUGUAUGGAUAAAUAGGUCUUACAUUCUCCGGUGCUUAGGCUUGGUAUUGGUGUACUUGGAUAAUUCAAAAUAUUUAUCAUUCUGGUAUCUAUAUCUAUUGAAUUCUUUUGCUUACUUUUUGCCUA